CGCUGAGGGGAGCGGGGGCAGCGCGGGGCGGCUGCCGGGGCUCUCCCUGAGGCAGCGCCGGCACGCCCGGCUCUGAGGCGCCCUGAGGUGCUCGGGCAGCGUGCUCGGAGUGCCCUGCGCCACGGAGCGGUGCCGGGCCGGGUUCGUGUUGUGAGCGGGGCUCCCUCCUGGAACCGGAGGGGAUCAAUCCAGCGUGGGAGUCCGUGUGCUUUAUGUCUUAGAGCAGCUCUUGAGAAUUCUGGUUCAUCGCGUUAUCCUGAGUGGCUGCAUUUUCAGUGUGAAUGUCAGGUGCCCUGAAGAGAAUGUUGAAUGGUGAAAAACGAUGCUCCGCAGGUCUCCUUUUCCCCAUCUUCAUAUCAAGAGUAAAACCCAUUAGCAUGGGCAUGGAUGGUCAAGCUUAUGAUCAGCUGAAAUAUUUGAGUGCCUCGGAGAGCAAGUGAUGGUGACAUGUGGUGUUUUGCCAUUUCCAUAGUCUACUCACUACUUCUAACACAGGAGUUGAAAAUUAUCACCAGAAGAUUAUUUCUGAACUUGAUCAACUAAAGGAUUAAGGUAAUU
rnacentral:lncRNA from 1 species